GAACCAUAACAUGUUACAUUCUGAACUCAUAACAUUUGGAACGACUUCAGCGAGCGAAGAAACAUGUGAGUGGUGAAUUUGCGUUUUCUAACGCGAACGGAGUGAACGCAUGGUGUUUCUUCAGCACAAUACAUACUACUACCCAGAUCAAGCCGUGAUCGCACCCCUGCUGAAGAAGCACGAGCAGUGCGCUUUUAGUUGCUGCAACUUUGUUUUCCGCGUGGUGAAUGUGCGUGAGUGAUUUUUCUCAGCCGACUCGAAGCGACGGUAUCAGUUUUAUCCGAACGACACAGGGAAAAAGACAUCGAUCAUCAUCUGCUACAACGAAACGAAUUUUGUGAAGUUUUUUUUUUAGUUUCAAUCUGUUCCACUCGAAGUUGAAGAAUUUCAAUUUCCUCCACAGAGCAAACAAGGAGGCAGUUUCAACCACCAGCGGCACCGCCACAGUAGUGAAACCACUAUGGCCCACUAAAUUUAGUCUGGAGAGUAAUGAAAAUGGAGAAAAAAGAUGCUGGUGAUGCAACAAGUGGUAGUGUAGUUUGAGUGAAAAUAGUUGUAACACAUUCUAGAGUUGUGCAUAAAGAAAAGAGGAAAAAAGAGGAAAUCUGCGCUCAAGUGCGCUGUGAAAAGAAGAGGAAAAAAGUUGUGCCAGUGGCAUUUCUCAUACCGCCAGCCGGCGAUUGGUGAUAAAGUUUGCAUUUUUGCUGAAUCCGUCGAAGGAAAAUUUGCAACCUUGUCGCAAAGUGCGAUUGUUCAUCCGGUGUUCAACGAAGCGACAAGGACAUCCGAGCGAAGAACGAGGAGGAAUCUGUGGCGAUGUCGUCAUAUCGCAGUAACUACAGUUAUUCCUGGAAGUCAAGCUACUACCCAACGUCUUCGUCGUCUAGUUCCUCUUAUGGAAGCAGUAGAUUCUCGACCGAACCAACGAGUUCCCGGUUCAGUUCGCUGAAUUCUGCCAGUAGUAGCAGUUACCGACCGUCGUUUACCUCUGGUAGCUACCGUGCCCCGCGCACGUCAUCGAAUGUGUCGACAUACAUCAGUCGGUAUUCAAGUUUGGCAGCCGAUAAGGAUAAGGAAAAAGAACGCGAAAAGGCGAAAGAGGAAGAGCGAAAAAGAGAGCGAGAACGUGAGCAACGAGAGAAGGAAAGAGAAAAGGAGAGAGAUCGAGAGAAAGAGCGCCUGAUUGAGACAUCGAAAAAGUUGGAAGCCGAGCUCGAGAAAGACAAGCCCAAGCUGAUUAAGAAGUCUGCGCUGAUCGCUGCGAAAUAUGGAGAACGACAAACCGAUGCUGAUGAUGCGUCAAAAACAGGUACCAAAGCGUCCGCUCUUAAGCCUAAGAAAGAGAAUGCACCACCAGUUACUUUUACAACUCGCUAUGGCAGGGCAGGAGUGGCUAGAGAGAAAUCAAGGGAGCCUAGCCCUGCAACCAGGGUGAACUCUUCUUCAAACCUGAAUGUUAACCGGUCCAGAGCUAGUGAUCCAAGUCCUGCUGGCGGGACAGUAGCAAGUAAAAUCAGAUCAAGAGACCCAAGUCCGGCCGUGGAGAGUAAACGUCCAACUGGUUAUGCAGCGACCAUUGCCAACAAAUUUACUGCCAAGGAAAAUGGAAACCAAGUACCGGUUAAAGAAUACAAGAGGCAAACAUCCAACACGUUAAGUAGCUUUUUCCAAAAUAGAGCGCGUUCUAGAGACCCCAGCCCCACGGUGCGCACACAAACUUCCCGGGAAACUAGUCCUGUGGAAGCUAGGAAGGUAGUGGCAAAGUCGUUCACUGGUAGAUCUAGAGAUCCCAGUCCCGCAACUCCCAGAAUCAAUGUAACAAACGCAAAGACAAUGCCUUCUGCAGCGCAUCGUUCCAGAGACCCCAGCCCAGCUGAACCGAAAAAGUUCUCCAGUAGCAUUUCAAUAAAAACUGGUCUACGCUCAAGGGAUCCAAGUCCCGCUGCUGAGGUGAAGAAAAUACCCACAUUUGGUACGAAUAAGAUAAGGUCCAGAGAUCCUAGUCCCGCGACUACCAGACCAGCGCCAUUUUCAAGUACUGCCGCUAGACAAAGAAUGCAAGAGGCUGGAUCUGCUGUAGCGAAGCAAUCCCCUGCGUACACUAGAUCUUUAACCACUAGAGAAAAACCAACGGAAAAUCUAACACUGACAGUGCCAACACAAAGAAAAAGGGAUCCUAGUCCCAGUGUUUCCAAUAUUAGAAGCCGUGACCCUAGUCCAGCUAUGCAUUCGACCACAGCCAGGAGACCUUCCCGGGAGCCUAGUCCAGCAGAAUCCAUUCGAGAAAAGUAUGGUCUCAGCACUAGCUCUUAUCGACCUUACGGUAGAAGCAAUUCUAGUCUUGCAAGUACACAGUCUCGAAUUGCGAUGAGUUCAAGCCCGGUGCCAUCUAGCCCAAUUGGUGGUGUAGCACUUUCGUACAUGACCUCCAGUGAAGCAAUUGCAUCGCGGACCAGUCGACCAUCGUCGAGGCUGUUGAACUCCCAAUCGAGAGAAACUUCACAAUGCCCUUCACCGCUGUUGAUACGAAGUCAGAUAUUUUCUCCGGAACCAGUAUUGAUUGUUGAAGAUGAGAAAAAGCCAGAAGAAGAAGAUGAAAGUUCGUCGUCCUCUGACAGCUCAUCGGAAGAAGAAACAUCUGAAGAAACUGAAAGCAGUGUGGAACCGGAACCAAAGAUCUUGAUCGAAAUAACGUUGGUUACGCGAGGAACGUCACCGACACCUCCUGGAUCUACACCGUACAUUAGAGCAAGGCGUGCAGAAAUGUGUAAAACUAUCGAAAAGACUAUUCAAAAGCAGUUGCUUAUCGUGGAAACAGCGGACAAGGCGGUUCAGUCAGACAGAAUGGAUGACUCUACCAAGUAUCUGAGAUACACUCAGUCGACUACAAGAAAUUGGUCACCAUUCCUAGACAAGUUCAGUUCCAGCGCUUCUUCCGGUUAUACCAGAUAUUCCAGCGCUUCGUCGCGAUACAGUCGUGACAGUUCAAGCCAAAGCCGAGAAACCAGUGUCGUGUCUCCAAGAAGUGACGUUCCGGAAAAGAAAGAGAUAUCGACGCUGGCAGCCCGAGUGAAAGAAAUGAGUUUAUCCAAAUCGGCCAGUCCAAAGAGCAAUCCGCCCAGCAGAUCAACCACGAGUACACCUUCCAUGAAACAAAAGACACCACCCAAACAGAAGUCACCUGAGAAACCACCGCCAGUUCCAAUGAAAGAUGGGUCCCCGACAAAAUCGGCAGUGAACUCAUCGAACACUAAAAUCAACAAAGAUUUCCGAAAAUCUGCGCUCAACAUGGGACCAGCACCCGAUCGCCCUCGCAAGGGAUCAACGUCCUCAAGCAAAUCGACAUCCUCGACGUCUUCGUCCUCAACGGCAACUCAAACGGCCGACGGCAUAUCUCAGAAUGGCGUCAGUCGGAUACCGCAAGCAACGCGAGCCAGCGCCAGCCCAUGUCGACGUUCUGAUCGCUCUUCAUCGACUAGCUCAGACCUAAGCACGGCAACCUCUUCGUCCACUUCGGAUGGAGACGGUCAACUGAAUCAGUCGGAAGGCAAUGCAGUCACCGAUUCAUCCAAUGCCAACAACGAACUGUUGAUGAGAGCGAUUCAGCUGGCGACGAACUUUGUGAACAACAACAACCGAAAUCACACCAGUUGGUACGACAACAACAGUACGACUAGUAUGUCGGAAAGUUUGAAUCAAGAUUCGGCGUCCAAGUCCGGCUGGGAAGCUGGAACGCAUUACAUGGAGAGUAUCAAGGAUGACGAUUCCACUGAGGAGGAAGAGGAAGAGGAUGAGACCGACUGUGCACAGAAGUCUGACCUUCAACGGGCUUCGUGGUGGAAUCCUCCCGGGAAACAAGAACCGGAGGCUUCGACGAAGAGCUACGUCUACAAGAUCAGACCUGUGCAAUCCGGUGAGAAAGCUUGGUGGAUGGUCGAUGAGAGUGAGAAGGGGAAAGACAAUGUGGAGUCUAAACAGAUGACCAAUGGCAGUCUAGCAGUGGCAGAUAGUGAUAGUAAUAAUAAGGCCUACAGCCCAUUCAGACCCAUUCAGAUCUCCCGGGUUGAAUCCGGAGAUAAACCAUGGUGGUUGAAAGACGACUCUAAAACAAGUAAUGGAAACGGUCGGGCGGAAACACAGGAGGAUGACGAUGAUGAUGAUGAAGAUAUGAACAGGAGUCAAAAAUCUGGAAGCAUCUUCAGUAAGGCCAGCAGUCAACCAUUCAGACCGAUAAAAGUUACUCGAAUAGAAUCGGGCGAGAAGGCCUGGUGGAUGAUGAGCACUGAUAAUGUUGCUGCUAAGGCAAAGGAAUCUUCCAGCGAGUCAAGUAAAGAAGCAUCUAAGGAAACCAGUCCAGAGAAAAAGAACCCAGGAUAUACAGUGUAUACAUUGGAAGCUGAAGAUGAAGCGUGGUGGCGUGAAGCAAUGGGAGAUUUAGAUAAAAAAGAUAAAUCGAGCUCCAGUACGAGCACUACUAGUAGCAGCAAAGCUACUUCUAAAGAACCUACGCCAGAACCAAAACAGCAAAUCAUAAUCACCAGGGCGGAAUCGGGAGAGAAAGCUUGGUGGAUGCUGAGCUCAGAUAAAGUUAAUGAUGCAGCAACAGCAGCAAUAGCCCCUAGUAGUGAUGGUUCGGUCAGAGAGUGCAGUCCUGUUAAGGCAAAGCCGUUCAAGAUUACCAGAAUAGAAUCGGGCGAAGCACCUUGGUGGAUGACUGAGACUGAAAACAACCUGUCAAGAUCCAGUUCCAAGCCCAACGUAGUGAGUCGAUCGAACAGUUUCAAUUCUAACAAACAAACAAGUCCAACCAAGUACAAAAUAACGAGAGUCGAAUCGGGAGAAAAGGCUUGGUGGGUGGAAAAUUCCGAUGAUAAAAGCGGAAGUCCGAGAAAACUAUCCUCCUUUAUCGAAACACAUGGCGAAGAGGAAAAUCACCAAACAGAACUUGGUGACGAUUUGGACGAAGAGAUUCGAAACAUCAGUAAACUUGUAGCUGGUCUACCGGAAUUUCCCACGGGCAACACUAUCAUCGAAGUGAUCGAGACAUCGGAUACUCCUCUAGGCGAUCGUGCCAGUCCGGAAGGCGUUGAAGACACCAAAAUCGAAUCCGACCGGCUGUCCCCUUACGAUAACAUUCCCACAGCCACGACAAACACCGCCAAUCUGGAGUCAAAAACCUACAACAAGACAGAUCUGGAUCGCAAGGGAGUGACCCAGCCGACGGUCUUCAUUUCGCGUCAUACCAACAUCGACGAUCUGCUGGGCGGAUCUUGUCAUCCGCUGAGCCCCAUGAUGGACCGUAUGUUUGUGAUGGACGAUCUGCAGGAAAUUUCACCACAUGACGUGCGGGUGCACGACGCCACGGCGCAGUUCAUUUAUGGCAACAGAUCUACCGCUGAUGGGGAUCGUUCAGCGAGUGGUGAUCUGAUGCAGAAAGCCGGGCUGGACGAUGCAGCGCUGCAAGUGUACAAAGACGGCGACCUCGGGGCCUAUCUGGAUUUGGAAUCAUCGCUGGCCGAGCAGUCCGAGGACAUCGAGGGGCUGAAUGCAAAUCGCAAAAACUCCCUUGUCGUACGAACACAACUCAGCGUUCGGGUACACUCAAUCAUAGAAAAACUUCUAUCCUCCGAGGGACGUGAACUGCGGAGGGCACUGUUUUCCCUUAAGCAGAUCUUCCAGGAAGACAAGGACCUGGUGCAUGGCUUCGUGGCACUCGGGGGGCUCAAUUGCCUGGUGCAAAUCGGCAACGAAGCGGAUCAGAACUACCAAAACUACAUCCUGCGGGCGCUGGGACAGGUGAUGCUGUAUGUGGACGGUAUGAAUGGGGUGAUGAAACAUUCGCCUACGAUCCAGUGGCUGUACUCGCUGAUUGCGUCCAAGUAUCGGCUGGUGGUGAAGACGGCAUUGAAGCUGCUGUUGGUUUUCGUGGAGUAUUGCGAAGGGAACUGCUACCUGAUGGUCAGCGGGAUUCGCUUCGUGGACACAGCGCGGGGAGUAGUGCCCUGGAAUAAUAUAAUGAGACUGCUAAAAGACUACGAAAACGCCGAUACGGAGCUGCUCAUCUAUGCAACUUCGCUCAUCAACAAAACCCUGUCGGGCCUCAGCGACCAGGAUACGUUCUACGACGAAAGCGACUUCCUCGAACAGCAGGGUAUGGAAGGUAUCAUCCAACGGUACAUGUCCCGCCCUGGCACGGAUCUCGAUCUUCUUGAUCAACUACAGCUUUACGAAACGGUGUUACGGUUCGAAGACGGCGAAACCGAUGGCAUCCGUAUCCCCGACAACACCGUUCGGAAAACUCUUCGAUAUCGAUCGAACGACACCAGUGAUAGACGGAAGUCACGGCGGCACAGUACCGGCACUGCGCCGUCAAUGCAGCCACCUCCAGUUCCUCCUCCGCCGCCACCAUCCGCGCUUCUUGGAUUGCCUCCGAGUAUUCCACCACCACCUCCUCCACCGCUACCACCACCGGUGGCACCAGUCACUUUGUACGGUUCCUUAAAGAUACCAACUCAGCAAAAUCAAGACGAAGACAGCUCCAGUUCGGCCAACUCUGGUGAUCAUGUUCACACCGGCGGUGGCUACCAUGACGACUCUCGAGACACAACCGGCGUAACUCCAGGUCUUCGAAGGAGGCGCGAACGAGCCGAGCGACAGAAGAGUUUUAUGCGAGAACAGCAAGAACUUACUCAGUUCAAAGCUCAGGAAGACACAAAUGGUCACGGUUAUAUUCUAACCCAAACGGCUGCUCCUGUGCCAGUGCGACUCCGGAAUGGACUUGAGCCUCGCACUACACGACUGAGCAGCUAUCCACCGCAGCAGCAGCAUCAACAACAGCCUCAAAUCCAACACGCCACGAUCAACGAGUACGAGCCUCCAUCGACGCGGGUGUCCAAUCUAACUCAAUCUGUGAUCUAUAAUCAUAAACAUAGUUCCACUACUAAUAGUAACCUUAGCAAUACCAAUGAUCUCGGAGUCUCGAAGGGAUCGUCGAUUUCCAACGGCGUGGGGCACGAUCCGGUGGAGUAUAGGAAUAAUAGGAAUUUGCUGUUGAACAAGCAUAACGGAGUAAGUAAUGGGAUCUACAAUGGCUCCAAGAUGGACCUCAAUGGGAACGUGCCGAAUGGCAGAGUUGCCAGCCCCAAGGAGUUGGAUGAGAACGAGAGUCCGAAUAUCAAGAAGAACGGAAACUACGGGGAGAUCAACGGGUAUGGCUAUACCAACGGGUACCAUCUGAAUGGUUAUAAGCAGCAGAAUGGGAAGGAAGACCAUCGGAAGAGUAACGGGUAUGUCAAUGACAAUGUGACGACCAAUGGAAACCACACGGAACCGAACGGGAAGCAGGAUCCUACGCAAGUUGAGUCGGACAGCGAGGAAAAGAAGCUAAUAAUCCAGCUGAAGAAGGAUCACACGGUCAAAGACCUGACCCAGAAGCUGUCGAACCUGCCGCUGAGCCCCCAGGAGGACAAACCCCAGAACCGGAUCGGCGACAUGUCCGGCUUGAUUUCCAAAGCCAAAGAAGGACUGGCCAAGAGCAAGAGCAACAAGGACAUCUCCCGGUCGCCGAGCGUCGACAGCGACAUCAAAAAGCUGGGCGGCGAGCAGAAAAAGUCCGAAAACGAACUGCACUGGGAGGAGAUUGUGAAGAACAUGACCCGGAAGCUGAAUCUGUGCGACCUGGACUUUACCGAUCUCACGUCCGACGACGAUAAGGAUGUGCUUGCGCCGCGGGGAUUCGGCGGAGCGGUUCCACCUCCACCGCCGCCGGGAGGGCUGAUGCCCCCGAUGAUGGGUGUAAUGCCACCGCCACCGAGCAUGAUGAUGCGGCCGCCGCCGACCAACCUGAUGGCACCGAUGUUCCCCAACGGCGGAGGACUGGCGAAUCCGGCAGCCAUGACCAAUGGCGGCGGCGACACAAUCAAGAAGAACAAAAAGACUGUAAAACUUUUCUGGAAGGAAGUUCGCGAGGAUAUGAUUCCGGCGUCGAUACAGCGCACCAUUUGGGACGAGCUGCCGGAGGCCACCGUGGACACCCAGAAGCUGGAGCAUUUGUUCGAAUCCAGAGCCAAAGAUCUGAUGACAAAGAAACAACAAGAACUCAACAAAAACAAAGAAAUCAUCGUGUUGGAUCACAAGCGAUCAAACGCGAUCAACAUCGCUAUGACCAAGUUGCCUCCACCACGUGCUAUCAAGGCAGCGAUCCUGAAGAUGGAUUCGACAGUCGUGACACGUGAGGGUAUCGAGAAGCUCCUAAACAUGCUCCCGAGCGACGAAGAGCGAUGUAAGAUCCAGGAAGCUCAGAUGGUCAAUCCAGAACUACCCUUGGGAACUGCUGAGCAGUUCCUGUUGACACUGUCGUCCAUCUCGGAACUGGGCGCCCGUCUCAAACUGUGGGCCUUCAAGCUAGACUUUGAGAACAUCGAAAAGGAGAUAGCCGAACCGCUGAUGGAUCUUAAGCAAGGUGUUGAACUGCUCAAAGCGAACCUUACGUUCAAGUGCAUCUUAUCCACGUUGCUGAAGAUCGGCAUCUUCUUGAACGGGGCCCCAGUCAAAGGUUUCCAAAUCGACUACCUUGCGAAAGUUCCCGAGGUUAAGGACACAGUUCACAAGCACUCGCUUCUGCACCAUCUGUGCCACAUGGUAAUGGAAACGCAGGCCAACACAACCGAUCUGUACUCGGAGAUAGGCCCGAUCACCCGUGCAUCGAAGGCCGACUUUGGCGAGCUGGCUCACAACAUCACCUACCUGGAAACGGAGUGCAAAGCGUCAUGGGACAGGCUGAAACUAAUCAGCAAACACGACACGGCACCUCACCUGAAGCAGAAGUUGAUCGACUUCCUGGCGGAUUGUGCCGAACGAAUCAUCAUUCUCAGUAUAGUACACCGGAGGGUUCUCAACAGGUAUCGAAAGUUCCUGCAGUGGUUGGGAGUUCCCCAGCACCGGAUAGCCGAAUCCCGACCGAACGAGUUCUGUCGGAUCGUAUCGGAGUUCGCACUAGAAUACCGCACCACUCGGGAACGUGUCCAGCAGCAGAUCGAAAAGAAGGCCAACCACCGAGAGAGAAACAAGACUAGAGGCAAGUUGAUUGUCGACGUAGGCAAAUUCAAGGGCACUCAGGAGGACCGGGCAGAUGUUGAACUAAGGACUCUCCUCGGAACGCCAACCAAGGGACCCGGUGGCGAAGAAGUCGAGAUGAGCGGAACACUCACCUGGAGGCGAAGACGAGGUGACGCCACGGCAUCCCCCGUCACCCUCAUGAACUCCAGUGCCACCAGUACCCUGAACAGUAGCUACACCGGGAGCCUCCACAACCGGGACGAGAGCUUCACGGACGGGGACGACGAGAUACUGGAAUCCCUAGUAAAAACGGCAACCAAAGCGGCCACCCCUAGACCCACGCAGCGGGAACGGAAACGUACCCGACAGGCGGAUCGAAAGUCGUUUAAGCGAUCAAGAACGCGUGAAGGGUUUACGGUGGAACGCAGCGGGCAUUCGCCGGUUUAGGCGUGGACAUUUAGCUAAUCCGCUCAUCCCACCCCACACUCUCCAUACCUGUACAAUUUAAGAUGACAAUCUAUACCGUAAGACGAACACUGAAGAACGGAUUAUCGGAGGAGGAAAAGCAACACGUGGCCUCGUUGAUAAAAGGAUACUAGAGCCGAAGCCGGA